GGAAGUAAAAGUCGUAACAAGGUCUCCGUUGGUGAACCAGCGGAGGGAUCAUUACGAAAAGAGUAUUCUGUACUCGCAACCCUUUGUGAACCUUACCUUUUGUCUGUUUCUUCGGCGGGUGGCCCCUGGGAGGGGCCCCGGGGCCCGGCCAGAGCCGGGUGCCCGCCGGAGGGACACAACCAAAACUCUUGUUGUACCUCAGUGGCACCUCCGAGUCAAUUACAAAAACAAGUUAAAACUUUCAACAACGGAUCUCUUGGUUCUGGCAUCGAUGAAGAACGCAGCGAAAUGCGAUAAGUAAUGUGAAUUGCAGAAUUCAGUGAAUCAUCGAAUCUUUGAACGCACAUUGCGCCCGCCAGUAUUCUGGCGGGCAUGCCUGUUCGAGCGUCAUUUCAACCCCUCAGGCCCUGGUGCCUGGCGUCGGGGCGUUCCCUCGCGGGAAGCCCCCAGAGACAGUGGCGGACCAGUCGCGGCUCCGAGCGCAGUAGUAACAUUCUCGCUUAGGAGGUCUGCGGCGGGCUCCCGGCCGUAAAACCCGGACCCCUCACAGGGCCGACUUCUCAAGGUUGACCUCGGAUCAGGUAGGAAUACCCGCUGAACUUAAGCAUAUCAAUAAGCGGAGGA
rnacentral:rRNA from 1 species